UGGUGUGAGUACCUGUAGGUACCAUAGGAUCAUGUAUAAGCAGUUCUUUUCACAGAAGACAUCAGAACAAACACCAUCAAUCAUAAUAAUUGACCUCUAAAAGAACAGCCAAAGAAAAACAGAAAUAUUGACAUCUGCUGUUGGAUUUGCUUCAACUCUCAAACGCAUUAGACAUUGACCAGGUAGGUUUCAUGGCUGUGGACUGUUGUAUUCUCAUUGUUCAACAGAUCGUGGGUGUUACCAAGGAUUGUGGAGGGUGUAAUCACGAACUGGAAAUCGGCAGUCAAAAGAGGACAGCACGGGAGACAUCGCAAGUAUGCCUCUUUUGGUGGCUAUGGAAUGAAGAAAUAGAAGACUGUCUCAACAUAGUAAAAUUUUCUUAUUUAUCUUGUAUUUCAUGUGUAAAGAGAGAAUACAGUGUUAUAUUGAUGAUUGGCAUACUUGAUAGAUGCUUCUAGAUUCACGUUGAAUCAAAUAAACAACUUGUACAUUCUUCUGAGA